rnacentral:rRNA from 1 species
CACGGGGGGAGCAAGCGUUGUUCGGAAUCACUGGGCGUAAAGGGCGCGUAGGCGGCCAUUCAAGUCAGAGGUGAAAGCCCAAGGCUCAACCUUGGAACUGCCUUUGAUACUGUUUGGCUUGAGACCGGUAGAGGUAAGUGGAACUGCGAGUGUAGAGGUGAAAUUCGUAGAUAUUCGCAAGAACACCAGUGGCGAAGGCGGCUUACUGGACCGGUUCUGACGCUGAGGCGCGAAAGCGUGGGGAGCAAACAGGG